CUGUAUUUUAGAAGUCCUUUUUGCUACCGCUGCACUAACUUCCUCAUUAACAUUCAGAUUUUCAAUCUGUCUUUUGCAUGUUCUCUCACACAGAUUGUUACCCAAGAGGAUUGAUCAGAGACGUUGAGAUAAAGAGUGAAGAUCUUGGGAAGUAAUGAAUUUAGCUAUUACUGAACACUAGAUCAAUACAGCAACGUCUAAGCAAUCUUAUCUCCUGUAAGUCAUCACUGCAAGAAAGCGUCUGCAAUGGCAGAUGCCAGAACAACAGUGGCCUCUUUCAUCAAGAAUUUUGCCAAAGGACUUGUACAAAACCCAUAUUUUGGCUCUCUAUACUAGAUGGCUCGGCUGGCUGGAAUGAAAGUGAAGAUGACAGACAGGAUUUUGGUCUCUGGAGAGAGAAGAUCUCACUGUAAGACUGGAUGUUGCACGAUCUCCACCACUAAGGACAAGGUUUUAGCAUAUUUGUCCUGAGAAUGCCUGGAAACCAACAUGAAGGAAUAACCAAAUGUUCCCAGAAUCUACUAAUCCUGUCUAUGCCUUCAUCACCAACCUCAAUCACAGAGCACACCCAACAAAGCACAAAGAAGAAAAAAUAAAGGAAGCAUUCUUUAACUGCUUGCACAUAUUUUUCAUAUAAACUAUUGCUCUGAUCCAUCUAUAGCACCAAAGAAAUGGCUUUGUUCUUCCACUCAUAAAAGAAACAUUGUCUCAGAGUUUAUCUGAAUUUAUGAGCCAUAGAUAUCACAGCCUUUCAGAAGAGAAACCAUUGAUGUCACAUGCAGUGAUGACGUCACAGAAAAUAUCUCUGCCUUCUGUUGUUGGGGAGAUGUACAUCCAGCUGCUCUCCUGAGUGAUCUGCAGUGAAGAUAAGUUUAGGAACUUAUCCCCAAGUUGUUUUGGAGAAGUUCAGUUCCAGAAAACCUUUUUUAACUGAGGUCUUGAAUAUGAUGUUUGUUUCAUUUGGGUUUUUCUUAAACAGAAAAGUGUGGGUCACUGGAAGACAAGACAUAACCUGCUGAGAUGAAACCAAAUGUUCUGCAGACGAAUAUGUACAUAUAUAUAUAUAUAUAUAUUAAACAAACAAACAGGAUAUCAGACCUUUUUUGUUAUCUCCUGAUCUUUUGUUGAGAACUGAACUAUGGGCACACUAAGGCAAAAGAACCAUCUGUCAUAGUUGAGGCUCUGGUUUCGAAACAAAGUAAAUAUGAAAAUAAAAUCCUGCAGGGUUCAUACCAGACUUGAUCACAUUUCUACAGGCUUCAGAUGACUGAUUUCAGCAUUCUCUAAAAGCUGUACUAUUGGUGAAAAUUGCACCACAGGCAAUAAGGAAGAUCUAUGCUGCAUUUGCAAGUGAAAUGAAUGGGCACAAAGCAUGCUACACUUUUAUCUUUGCAAUUCAUCAUAUUAAAACUAAUGGCAGGUGUAAUUAUGUGAGCACCAAAAAUAAAUAAGUAAGCAAAUAAAUAAAUAGGUCUCAAAUUUUCCUAAGUGUUCUGCUUUUCCUAAGCAUAGUAAAUCUAUGGGUUGGAGAGGAGGUUGAAAUUGUCCUUACAGCUGAAGAUAUUUUGGGAAGAAAGUGCUAGUUAGGAAAACUGCUAAGUUUCCUUAUCAGUGCUAAGUUAUCUGUGUUAAGAUUCUCUUAUCACAGAGAGAAAGGAAGAAACAACAGAAAAGGAAGGAAGGAAGGCAGGAAAUACAUGACUUUACUGUCAGCAGUUUCUCAGUGUGUAAUAAUUUUUGACAGAAUAAGCCAUACCUCUCUAGUGUAUUCCAAAUUCAAUUUUGUUUUUUUACAAUUUGAGUCAACUGUAUUCCAGCUGCAAACAUUGUGACAAUAGCACGUUAUUUCCCAGACUGAGGCUGACUACUCCAUGCUACAUUAGUGAACAGAAUAAAGUCUUCCAAACAUCUCACUUAAAGCUGUAUCUUCUUGGUACUGGCUUUUGCACUCUGUUCACACUGAGUACAAAUUUAAACAGCAUAUCUUCCUGUAGUCAUUGGAGGUCCUGAAAUAGCAACUGCUAUGAGGGAUGGGCUCCCUUCCUUCAGAGAAAGGGAAACAAUAUCUUCGAAGUGGAAACACAAAUGUAAACAUUUCUUUUGUUGUAAAAGGACAAUUACUGUAACACCUACAUCAAAUGAAAAAAGUUAUGUCUUUUAAAAUUAAUUUUCUUUCCCUAUAACUAUGAUUAGAAGCUACAGAUUUGAAAAAAAUGCCAGUAAUCCUGCACUAGGAAAACUGGU